rnacentral:rRNA from 1 species
CGGACGGGUGAGUAAUGUCUGGGAAACUGCCCGAUGAGGGGGAGUAACUACUGGAAACGGUAGCUAAUACCGCAUAACGUCGCAAGACCAAAGGGGGGAACCCGUGGGCCUCUUGCCAUCGGAUGUGCCCAGAUGGGAUUAGCUAGUAGGUGGGGUAACGGCUCACCUAGGCGACGAUCCCUAGCUGGUCUGAGAGGAUGACCAGCCACACUGGAACUGAGACACGGUCCAG